rnacentral:rRNA from 1 species
GACGAACGCUGGCGGCGUGCUUAACACAUGCAAGUCGAACGGUGAUGCUCCAGCUUGCUGGAGUGGAUUAGUGGCGAACGGGUGAGUAACACGUGAGCAACCUGCCCCAGACUCUGGAAUAAGCGCUGGAAACGGCGUCUAAUACUGGAUACGAAACUGGCCCGCAUGGGCAUGGUUUGGAAAGUUUUUCGGUUUGGGAUGGGCUCGCGGCCUAUCAGCUUGUUGGUGAGGUAAUGGCUCACCAAGGCGACGACGGGUAGCCGGCCUGAGAGGGCGACCGGCCACACUGGGACUGAGACACGGCCCAGACUCCUACGGGAGGCAGCAGUGGGGAAUAUUGCACAAUGGGCGAAAGCCUGAUGCAGCGACGCCGCGUGAGGGAUGACGGCCUUCGGGUUGUAAACCUCUUUCAGCAGGGAAGAAGCGAAAGUGACGGUACCUGCAGAAGAAGCACCGGCUAACUACGUG